rnacentral:rRNA from 1 species
CUGGCGGCGUGCUUAACACAUGCAAGUCGAACGAGAAUCUGCGGAAAGAGGAUUCGUCCAAUUGAAGCAGAGGACAGUGGCGGACGGGUGAGUAACGCGUGAGGAACCUGCCUUUCAGAGGGGGACAACAGUUGGAAACGACUGCUAAUACCGCAUGACACAUCGGAGUCGCAUGGCUCUGAUGUCAAAGAUUUAUCGCUGAAAGAUGGCCUCGCGUCUGAUUAGCUAGUUGGUGAGGUAACGGCCCACCAAGGCGACGAUCAGUAGCCGGACUGAGAGGUUGAACGGCCACAUUGGGACUGAGAUACGGCCCAGACUCCUACGGGAGGCAGCAGUGGGGAAUAUUGGGCAAUGGGCGCAAGCCUGACCCAGCAACGCCGCGUGAAGGAAGAAGGCUUUCGGGUUGUAAACUUCUUUUGUCAGGGACGAGUAGAAGACGGUACCUGACGAAUAAGCCACGGCUAACUACGUG